AGAGUUUGAUCAUGGCUCAGAUUGAACGCUGGCGGCAUGCCUUACACAUGCAAGUCGAACGGCAGCACGGGGGCAACCCUGGUGGCGAGUGGCGAACGGGUGAGUAAUACAUCGGAACGUGCCCUGUUGUGGGGGAUAACUAGUCGAAAGAUUAGCUAAUACCGCAUACGACCUGAGGGUGAAAGCGGGGGACCGAAAGGCCUCGCGCAAUAGGAGCGGCCGAUGUCUGAUUAGCUAGUUGGUGGGGUAAAGGCCCACCAAGGCGACGAUCAGUAGCUGGUCUGAGAGGACGAUCAGCCACACUGGGACUGAGACACGGCCCAGACUCCUACGGGAGGCAGCAGUGGGGAAUUUUGGACAAUGGGGGCAACCCUGAUCCAGCAAUGCCGCGUGUGUGAAGAAGGCCUUCGGGUUGUAAAGCACUUUUGUCCGGAAAGAAAUGGCCUGGGUUAAUACCUCGGGUCGAUGACGGUACCGGAAGAAUAAGCACCGGCUAACUACGUGCCAGCAGCCGCGGUAAUACGUAGGGUGCGAGCGUUAAUCGGAAUUACUGGGCGUAAAGCGUGCGCAGGCGGUUUUGUAAGACAGGCGUGAAAUCCCCGAGCUUAACUUGGGAAUGGCGCUUGUGACUGCAAGGCUAGAGUAUGUCAGAGGGGGGUAGAAUUCCACGUGUAGCAGUGAAAUGCGUAGAGAUGUGGAGGAAUACCGAUGGCGAAGGCAGCCCCCUGGGACGUCACUGACGCUCAUGCACGAAAGC
rnacentral:rRNA from 1 species